GCUUCGGUUGCCUAGUGGUUAGAGCGUCCGCUUCCAAUGCGAAAGGUCGCGGCUUCAAGCCCCGGUUGAGGCA